AAUUUUUUAUAGCUUUUUAAGAAUUUUUUUCUAACAGGGUUUCUGACGUUGAUCAAAAAUCCCAA